GACAGAGGUGCCGAGCGUUAGGCGGAAUCACUGGGCUUAAAGCGUGUGUAGGCGGGUCGUUAAGUACCUUGUGAAAUCCCACGGCUUAACCGUGGAACUGCUCGGUAUACUGGCGAUCUUGAGCCACUUAGGGGUCAGCGGAACAAAUGGUGGAGCGGUGAAAUGCGUAGAUAUCAUUUGGAACGCCAGUGGUGAAAACAGCUGACUGGGAGUGUGCUGACGCUGAGACACGAAAGCCAGGGGAGCGAACGGG
rnacentral:rRNA from 1 species